UACUCCAUGGCCUAAUGGAUAAGGUGUUGGUCUACGAAACCAGAGAUCCUGGGUUUGAUCCCCAGUGGAGUCG
rfam:Ipomoea nil DNA, scaffold: scaffold0268, cultivar: Tokyo-kokei standard.